UCAAACUUGGUCAUUUAGAGGAAGUAAAAGUCGUAACAAGGUCUCCGUUGGUGAACCAGCGGAGGGAUCAUUACCGAGUUUUCAACUCCCAAACCCCUGUGAACAUACCUAUCGUUGCCUCGGCGGGACCGCCCCGGUGCCUCCGGGCCCGGACCCAGGCGCCCGCCGCAGGACCCCAAACUCUUGUUUUCUAUACGAAUCUUCUGAGUGAUACAAGCAAAUAAAUUAAAACUUUCAACAACGGAUCUCUUGGUUCUGGCAUCGAUGAAGAACGCAGC
rnacentral:misc_RNA from 1 species